rnacentral:rRNA from 1 species
GUGUCAGCCGCCGCGGUAAUACGAGGGGUGCAAGCGUUAUUCGGAAUAAUUGGGCGUACAGGGUGUGUAGACGGCAUAUUAAGUCAAUUGUUUAAUUCUCCGGCCUAACUGGAGGUCAGCGAUAGAAACUGAUGUGCUUGAGUAUGGAAGAGAGAAGUGGAAUUCUCGGAGUAGCGGUAAAAUGCGUAGAUCUCGAGAGGAACACCGAUGGCGAAAGCAGCUUCUUGGUCCAUUACUGACGUUGAGACACGAAAGCGUGGGGAGCAAACAGGAUUAGAAACCCCAGUAGUCC